rnacentral:rRNA from 1 species
AGUGAACGUUGGCGGCGUGGAUUAGGCAUGCAAGUCGAGCGAGAACCGUAGCAAUACGGGGACAGCGGCGAAAGGGACAGUAAUGUGUAGGUACCUACCCCGAGGUCUGGGAUAGCUGCGGGAAACUGCAGGUAAUACCGGAUAAUGUCUUCGGACCAAAGGUGUGAUUCCACCUUGGGAGGGGCCUGCAUCCUAUUAGCUAGUUGGCGGGGUAAUGGCCCACCAAGGCAACGAUGGGUAGCGGGUGUGAGAGCACGACCCGCGUCAUUGGGACUGAGAUAAUGCCCAGACACCUACGGGUGGCUGCAGUCGAGGAUCUUCGGCAAUGGGCGAAAGCCUGACCGAGCGACGCCGCGUGCGGGAUGAAGGCCUUCGGGUUGUAAACCGCUGUCGUAGAGGAGGAAAUGCAGGGGGGUUCUCCCUUCUGUUUGACCUAUUCUAGGAGGAAGGACGGGCUAAGUUCGUGCCAGCCGCCGCGGUAA